rnacentral:rRNA from 1 species
CGGGUGAGUAACGCGUGGGUAACCUGCCUCAUACAGGGGGAUAACAGUUAGAAAUGACUGCUGAUACCGCAUAAGACCACAGCACCGCAUGGUGCAGGGGUAAAAACUCCGGUGGUAUGAGAUGGACCCGCGUCUGAUUAGCUAGUUGGUGGGGUAACGGCCUACCAAGGCGACGAUCAGUAGCCGACCUGAGAGGGUGACCGGCCACAUUGGGACUGAGACACGGCCCAA